UAAUAUGUAGUAUGCAAAAAUGAAUUAAAUGGUAAUAAUAGAAAUGAACCAAAAGGUACUAUCAACAAACAAGACGUUGAAUCAUAUAAUUACAUGUGAAAUUAUGGACACGAGAUUACUUGGCUUUGUUUGUCUUAUACUACACAACACUAACCUCCGUACACAUCACACACACGUGUAUUUGAUCUCUCAAACUCAGGGUCAUAUAGUUAGGCCAACAUUAAAAUAUAAUUU
rnacentral:lncRNA from 1 species